rnacentral:misc_RNA from 1 species
GGCCUGUUUCGAUGAGCUGAGGGAAUGGUAAAUAAUAGAAGGGUAAGAAAGGAUAAAGAGAGUAACAAUAAAAAAAAUCUCAUGUUUGAAAAGGAAUGAAUUAAUGGAAAUGUAAGGAGGGUAAUAUAUAUUCUUUAUGUUUGGGUGAAUUAGAGAUAAAAUUAAGGGGUGUAGAAAUCUUCCACCCCCCCCCCCCCCCCC